rfam:Naegleria gruberi genomic scaffold NAEGRscaffold_13, whole genome shotgun sequence.
GCCCCGCUAGCUCAGUCGGUAGAGCGUUGGACUUUUAAUCCAACGGUCGUGGGUUCGAGCCCCACGUGGGGCG